rnacentral:rRNA from 1 species
UGGGGAAUAUUGGACAAUGGGGGAAACCCUGAUCCAGCAAUGCCGCGUGAGUGAAGAAGGCCUUAGGGUUGUAAAGCUCUUUCGCCCGCGAAGAUAAUGACGGUAGCGGGAGAAGAAGCCCCGGCUAACUCCGUGCCAGCAGCCGCGGUAAUACGGAGGGGGCUAGCGUUGUUCGGAAUUACUGGGCGUAAAGCGUACGUAGGCGGAUGCGCAAGUUGGGGGUGAAAUCCCGGGGCUUAACCUCGGAAUUGCCCUCAAAACUGCACGUCUUGAGACCGAGAGAAGUAAGGGGAAUUCCUAGUGUAGAGGUGAAAUUCGUAGAUAUUAGGAAGAACACCAGUGGCGAAGGCGCCUUACUGGCUCGGUACUGACGCUGAGGUACGAAAGCGUGGGGAGCAAAC